GGAGAUGGCAGCCGGCGGCGGAGUUUCCUACUACAUCCCGGUGCUGUGCUUUGUCUCCGCCGCGGUGCUCCUGCAGCUGGGGUCGCCGGCGGCGGCCGCCAGCAGGUCGAACCUCGAGAUCGGCAUCGGCGGCAGCCCGCCCUACAACGAGCCCUCUCCCACGCCGCAGUACGAGCCCCCUUCUCCACCAUCCUACGAGCCCUGUCCCCCGCCGGAACACCCGCCACCGCCCCCUCCACCUCCCCCGCCUCCGCCUCCGCCGCCACCGCCACCACCGCCUCCUCCCCCGCCGCCUCCGCCGCCGCCGCCGCGGGAGCUGCAGCCAUCGGACUUCGAAAACACGAAGCAGUACAAGGCCUACAAGGUGAUCCAGCGAUUCAAGAAGACGAUCACCUGCGACCCGCUAGGAGUGACCAAGACAUGGAAGGGAACAAAGAUCUGCAAGUACAGGGGAUUCACCUGCGAUACGCCGCCCAAGACCGGUGACCGGACGAUCGCCGGCGUGGACUUCAACGGGUUCACCCUGGCGGCGCCGACCAUCGGUGGCUUCGCCGACGGGCUCCCCGAC
rnacentral:lncRNA from 1 species